UGCACCCAAACUCCCUCCCAGAAAGAAACAAAUAUAACAGCUGUUCUAAGGGGCUGUAAACUCAAGCACCUCCAUCUCAGGCCAGGGUGUGUGCCUUUGAACUCCCUGCUGGGGACUCUACGGAUACAAAGGCACCUGCAGAAAGACUGCAGUUUGAAAUUGUAUGAAAACACCCCUGCCAUAUGAGUCCAGAGGGGAUUAUGGAGCAAUAAGGAAGCUGUGAACUUGAUGGAAUCCUGGUCAGGAAUAGCAUGAAGGAUCUUGUGAAGCAGCAUCUUCCCUUAAGUUCAUGGUAUACAACUAGCAACAAAGGUCAAAUCUGAAUCCAAAUGUGAAGGUUCAGGAAAGUGGUUCCAGUUCAAUAUGCAUGAAACGUGAGCAGCAAUGAAUGGUGACAAAAAUACAUAAAGUUCCUGUAAAAUCU